GAUGAACGCUGGCGGCGUGCCUAAUACAUGCAAGUCGAGCGAACGGACGAGAAGCUUGCUUCUCUGACGUUAGCGGCGGGCGGGUGAGUAACACGUGGAUAACCUACCUAUAAGACUGGGAUAACUUCGGGAAACCGGAGCUAAUACCGUAUAAUAUUUUGAACCGCAUGGUUCAAUAGUGAAAGACGGUCUUGCUGUCACUUAUAGAUGGAUCCGCGCUGCAUUAGCUAGUUGGUAAGGUAACGGCUUACCAAGGCGACGAUGCGUAGCCGACCUGAGAGGGUGAUCGGCCACACUGGAACUGAGACACGGUCCAGACUCCUACGGGAGGCAGCAGUAGGGAAUCUUCCGCAAUGGGCGAAAGCCUGACGGAGCAACGCCGCGUGAGUGAUGAAGGUCUUCGGAUCGUAAAACUCGGUUAUUAGGGAAGAACAUAUGUGUAAGUAACUGUGCACAUCUUGACGGUACCUAAUCAGAAAGCCACGGCUAACUACGUG
rnacentral:rRNA from 1 species